CCUACGGGAGGCAGCAGUCGAGAAUCAUUCACAAUGGGGGAAACCCUGAUGGUGCGACGCCGCGUGGGGGAAUGAAGGUCUUCGGAUUGUAAACCCCUGUCAUGUGGGAGCAAAUUAAAAAGAUAGUACCACAAGAGGAAGAGACGGCCAACUCUGUGCCCGCAGCAGCGGUAAUACAGAGGUCUCAAGCGUUGUUCGGAAUCACUGGGCGUAAAGCGUGCGUAGGCGGUUUCGUAAGUCGUGUGUGAAAGGCGCGGGCCCAACCCGCGGACGGCACAUGAUACUGCGUGACUAGAGUAAUGGAGGGGGAAGCGGAAUUCUCGGUGUAGCAGUGAAAUGCGUAGAUAUCGGGAGGAACACUCGUGGCGAAGGCGGGUUCCUGGACAUUAACUGACGCUGAGGCACGAAGGCCAGGGGAGCGAAAGGGAUUAGAUACCCGGGUAGUC
rnacentral:rRNA from 1 species